GAUGAAGAACGUAGCGAAAUGCGAUAAGUAGUGUGAAUUGCAGAAUUCAGUGAAUCAUCGAAUCUUUGAACGCACAUUGCGCCCCUUGGUAUUCCGAGGGGCAUGCCUGUUCGAGCGUCAUUAUCACCCCUCAAGCUCAGCUUGGUGUUGGGGCCGGCCCGUCACAGGGCCGCCCCUAAAAGCAGUGGCGGUGCCAUCUGGCUCUACGCGUAGUAAUACUCCUCGCGACAGAGUCCCGGUGGUGUCCUGCCAGAACCCCCCAUCUUUUUAAUGAUUGACCUCGGAUCAGGUAGGGAUACCCGCUGAACUUAAGCAUAUCAAUAAGCGGAGGA
rnacentral:misc_RNA from 1 species